AUUCGAUUGUUUCAGCAGCCGCGGUAAUACGUAGGUGGCAAGCGUUGUCCGGAUUUACUGGGCGUAAAGCGAACGCAGGCUGGAUAUUAAGUAGGAAGUGAAAGGUUGGAGCUCAACUCUGACACUGGUCCCUAUACUGGUAUUCUUGAGUCUUGGAGAGGAAAGGGGAACGACACGUGUAGCGGUGAAAUGGGUUGAUAUGUGUCGGAACACCGAUGGCGAAAGCAGCUUUCUGGACAAGUACUGACGCUGAGGUUCGAAAGGCCAAGGGAGCGAACAGGAUUAGAUACCCUGGUAGUCUUGGCCAUAAACGAUGUUCACUAGGUGUCGGGGCUUUGCUUCGGUGCCGCAGCUAACGCAUUAAGUGAACCGCCUGGGAACUGCGAUCGCAAGAUUAAAACUCAAAGGAAUUGGCGGGGGCCCGCACAAGCGGUGGAGCAUAUGGCUUAAUUCGAUGCAACGCGAAGAACCUUACCAGGGCUUGACAUGCAACUGCACGACGUAGAGAUACGUUUCCUUCGAGGGUGUUGCACAGGUGGUGCAUGGCUGUCGUCAGCUCGUGUCGUGAGAUGUUGGGUUAAGUCCCGCAACGAGCGCAACCCUCACGGUCUGUUACCAGCGGAUAAUCGCCGGGGACUCGGACUGAACUGCCUCUGUAAAGAGGAGGAAGGUGGGGAUGACGUCAAGUCAUCAUGCCCCUUACGCCCUGGGCUGCACAUAUGCUACAAUGGCCGGUACAAAGAGCUGCGAGCACGCGAGUGUCAGCAAAUCUCAAAAACCCGGUCUCAGUUCGGAUUGGAGUCUGCAACUCGACUCCAUGAAGUCGGAAUCGCUAGUAAACGCCGGUCACCAAUACGGCGUUGAAUACGUUCCCGGCCCUUGCACACACCGCCCGUCAAAC
rnacentral:rRNA from 1 species